CAGCAGAGCACCCCACUGCUCCUCCAGCUCUCUCCUCCUAGCAAAUGCAAUUUAUAAUCCUGGGCACAGGCAUAUGCAGUGGGGCACUUCUCCCCUCCAAGCAGGGGGCUGGACAAAGGGUGCGUGGAAAAAACUUAUCGCCCCACGCCAAGUUUGCCACUGACCUCCGUCCACCGCAGGAAGGGAGGCGUCCCCACAGUCCCCCCCAGGACAGCGCCCUGUGCCCCAGCCGCGGGCGGGAGAUGGCUCCGGGCGGCAGCAGGGAGCGGAGCUGCUGGGUGCCGCUCCCCGCCUGCCGCGGGAGGCACGGCGCUGACAAGCAGCCGCCGAGCAGCGCCGGAUCCCGGCGUGAGGGGCCGGGAGCGAUCCAGGCGGGAACGCGCGCGCAGCCAUGGAGCCGCUGCCGCGCGGGCCGUGCCGCCAGCGCCCCCUCGGGGCCGCCCUCGGCACCGCGGCCGCGCGGGGCCCCCGCGCUGCGGCCUCACCUGCGGCCCGCUACCGGGGCUACCGGGGAAAAAACCAACAAAAACACCAAAACAAAACAAAAAAAAUCAACCUGGAUUGCAAAAGGGUAGCCCGCAUGCCUCGCGCAUAUGCGUAACUGUCCCAGAGCUGCUUGCUUGAGUUAUGGCUCAUAAUUUUCAUGGAAAGUUCUCACAGUUCGCGACCCAGGAGAUCCCAAACAUAUGAUUUAAUCGGGCAUUAGUCAAUGUCGAAUUUUCCCCUUCCCGACACGUCGUCUGAUCUAUACCACAUUGUCAGCAUCUCCCUGCAGCAUGUGGGAGGCACAAGGCACCCUGAUGGAGGGCUGUGGAGGGAAGAGGGGAAAUCAAUGCUUGGAUUAGGAGCAACUGCAAACCCGGACAGAUGUGGCCCUUAAUGACACCGCAUGCUCAUUCUCAGCCUAUCGCUCCCAUGGCCCCUAACAUUUAUGGAAGAUGACAACGACUUAAGCCACCUUCCAGUGAACACAUUUCAGCACACUGACAUCGCCUUUAAACUCUCUUUUAAUUCUCUUCUUCCAGUGAGCAAACUGCCACCCUUAAACCCAAAUUACUCACAUGCUUGUAACCACAACCAAACUUCUGCUCUUAUUUACAGGGAUCCUCACUCAAAAGCUUUUACUUUGCAUUAAACCGCACACACAGCUCUUUGGGAUGUUGAGUCCAUGGUUUCUGAGUAACACAAAAGGAGUGGGAUAGGCAAUUACUUUAUGGAAAUGAAUAUCAAAUAUGCUACUGACUUGAGGAAAGGUGUGUCAUCCUGAUGUGUUUAUGGACACUAGUUAUCGUACUACAUGCUCCCUCCUCCUCAUGGUAAAAAUGGUUUGAAUGAUGAUUUUAUUUAGAAAACAAGUGCAUUUAUAUGCUAAUGACUUUUCGCUAUCCAUUGGUUAUUAUUUUCUUCUCCAAAAAUUUCAGGCAACCAAUCAACUGGAUUGGAAGAAAAACACUUUGCCAGAUUUUUUUUUGAAGAGCAAAAGAGUAUAGCUAUGUGAUUGAUUUCCACUAAGAACAAGACUUUAUGCAAUUUAGGCCACAAACCACUCCUCACAAACACCAAACAACUAACAGAUGGAGUGGGUAGUCUGCUAACAAAGCAGAGAUUGAAAUUGAAUUCCCCCAAAUGGUCUGGCAAAAAUCUGUGGAAAACAGGAUGUCUUUCUGAGCGAUUUGCAAAAGAAGAGAGGCCUGAAUUAGGGAACAAAUAUGCUAAAGCCCUAAGAAGAUCUACAUACUAGUAGUGUGGCAUUUGUUUUCCUUGAAGUUACUAGACUGGAUAGACAAUCCCAGAUUUAGACUGAGGCAGGAGAUGUUACUCUGAAGAAAGGCCUACCUCUUCCUCUCCCUGCAGCUGCUCCACACAGACUUAAGAAAAGGCAACAUAAAGACUCUCCCAGACUUUUACCUCUUACAGUCUUGAUGCUCUUGUCUUGUGAGGAGGCUCAGGUUAAUUCAAGACAGAAUUUAAGUUAAUUCAAGACAGAAUUUAAGUUAAUUCAAGACAGUAACAGAGCCUUUCUCCCUUUCCAUUUCUUCACUUCAGAACCAUAUAAAGAUUAGAGAGAGAUGAGGUUAUGAUUAGUCAGAAUAACUUUACUACUAACUAGGUGGCUCAGUUUGUGCAUUUAGUCACACAAUCAUACUAGAAACAGUUUGAUUACUGAACUAUCUUAUUGAAAAAGAUGAUGAGCAGGAAAAGUAUAUGUCAAAAGAGAAACUUUGACAUAUAUUAAUGCUCUGUGACAUUCAGAUUAUACCAUGUUGGGUUGGUUGUUUUGGUUGAGUUUUUUUGUAGGAUGUUGUGGCUUUGGACAGCAAGGUAAACUGAUUGCCUCCUGAAAGACCUGCGAAGUUGAGUCAAUUUCUGUCAGGAAGGAUUCUGGGAUCCCUGGUAUCCACUUGCUGUUAUGAAACAUUCCUUCAGAUCCACAGAAAUAGCUAUAAUUCUCUGUGGUUAAAGCUACCCAUUGGAAAAUCAGCUGAGAGAAGUGAUAGCAAUCAAGAAAGGUCUUGGGAAAUACGCAAUGUGGUAUGGUUGCUCCCCAGCAGAGUCUCCAGAACUGAAAGGUCAAGCAUUCAAGGCUUUCAGUGAAUCUUGUUUAUGAAAGUUUUGUAUGUUUGACCAUGACUAUGGUAAGAAAUCUCAGUCAGGGGGUUUUUAUCUCAAGGAGCUGUCUGACAAAGUUAAUGCUGCUUUUGUUAUAAUGCUUGGCUGAAGUGACUCUUCAAGAACGUCAUGCAGAAAGCCCUGGACAGCUAGGGCAGGCAAGGACUGUUCUCUCCACAGCCUGGAUUAAACCUGCUGUAGGUGAAAGGACAGGCUGAAGGCAUUCUGGAACCCCACAGCUGAUGUCUCUGUGUUUCUCUUCAGCCCCAUACCUCCCCACCCCUGCUUCUAAUCGAGAAGAGAAAGGAAAAGGAAAGGCCACUUGCUACUUCUCCUAAAAGAUUAAAACUGAUACCAACAAACAAUACGCUGCAGCUAAGAAAGCUUCCAUGGUCUUGCCUGGCACCAGGAAACUGAAGGGGAAAGCCCUGAUGGACAGCAACCAUAGAUGCUGCACAGCAAAUGGCUGUGAUUGUGAUGACAUAAAAUGCUUCUUUCUUUUGUGACAAAAUGAAUACACCUCUUCAUUAAAAUUAAAAUCUGUUGGUUUUCCUAAUGAUUCUACCAGAAAUACAUAGUCUGGAACUGUAUGGAGUGCUGUUAGCUUGGAAAAUUGCUCAACAAGUCAUCUCAACCAACAAAUCUUUGAUGAAGACCUCUAACCAGUGUGAUACCUUGGACUGUAUUUACAUGUCCUGAAUGCUACAUACAACCUUGGCUCCCUGGCAUCUAGAGUGCCCUUUUCAAUAGGAACUAUUAGGCUAAACAGAUUUGUAGUUUUGUCUGAAUUUCAGCUAUCUGGUCCUUAGUGCACCCAGCUCUCCCAAAUAAAAUCACAGCUAUGAAUACCGUGUAAGAACUGAGACAUUUCUUUCCAAUUCCCUCAUCUGAGCCCACAAUUUAUCCACAUUGCCUUCUGUGGCAGAAUAAUCAGGCACACCGUCGACUAAUAAAAACAGAGGAGACGGAAAGGCAUAACAAGAAAGCUGUACCGAACACUUUAUUCUGCCUGGGAUGUAGAAAUAAGACUUGACAUAAAGAAUAACUGCAAUGAGUAUAUGAUUUAUUGUUUAUACCAUGUCAUAAGACAAAACUCUCAGAUAUUAGUGGCCUAAUAAAGUGAUAUAAUGCUUGCUAUGUGUUUAUCCAUGUGGUAAAUAGAUAGCACAACUGACACUUGAAGCACUGUAAGGGGAACAAUGGCUAUAAAAUCAGAACUCUGCAAGGUAGUGGCAGAAUUUAUUGCUAAUUCCAUCCCUCAGGAAAUAAGGAAACAUUACUCUCCAGUAAUAUUCAAAUAUCUGGUGAAUUAAAAGAUUAUUGGUGACAACAUUCCAAUACUGCUCUCCUUUCCUCCAUCUUUCCUCUGCCAUGAGAGCAGGACAUGCAUUACAGGGUUUGCAGCCUGACAUAAAACUCUUGCAGCAUCUCAACACAAAAGAUGCUCAAACCUAAAAAUUCCAUUUUACAAAGAGGCUGAGAAUGAGACAUUGUUCCCAAUGCAGAAGGAAAGGUUUUCACAACAAAACAGCCCCCAGUGCCAUCUCUGCCACUGUGAUUCCUGCAUCAGCCUGCAUGGCCCAAGGAGCUGACUCCAGCAGAGUAAGGUGUGACCAUCUGCAUCUACUCUCCAUGAUAGCAUCCUGUGAGCAAGACUGCUACCUUAAUGAGGUGGAGAUGGCUCUUACUGAGUUGAACACUACACCCUGGAGUAGGAUAACCUUCUGGACAGAGAUAUUUGAAGAUUUCUGGUAAAUGUGAAUAUCAUAAAAAAUAUCCCAAACUCUAGCAGCUAUACCCCAUGAAAGGCCAAGCCUUCUAGCAUGCAGGUGGCAUCAAAUAUAUUUCCAAAUUCAAAACUCUCAGGCCACGCUGUCAAAGGUUCAUGUGAAGUGACGUCAUCUAUUUGUCUUCAGUGAGAAAAUGUUCAGCACAGUUCCCUCCCCGGUCCUCAUUUUUGGGUAGCUUGUUUGAGAUUGUUGUCUACACUCUGAUCCUUCACAAAGAGUUAUGCAAAAAUGAGGCUGUAGGGGGAUUAAAGCUUACUCUUAAAGAGCAAGAAUGGCAUAAUGGGGAAGUGAGCAUAUUAGAGGUGAACAAUGUCAUCUUGACUCAUUGUAGCAAAGAGGAAAUCCAAUCAAUAUGUCUAAGUUUUCCAGAAUACAGUAAUGAAAAAGUUGUUGGACAAACUGAAGAAUUCUUCUGUCUAUCAUGGAUCAUCUCUUUGUAUGAGAAAUGAAUCCCUUUGAAAGUGCCCCAGUCUAGUUCUAUUUUUCUUCAUAUCCAUAAUGCCCUCUAACUCAAGUGGUAAUUUUGCAGACUUAGACUUGCACUAAGUAAUACUUCUUCAUAUCAUGGGGAGACAGUAAUACCUCUUCUCAGCAAGUGCAAAUUGGCAAUAGUCUCUCCUACGAAGAGGCACAGCCUGCUUGUUCUUUCACUGCAAUAUUUAUGUCUGUCUCUGUAACUGUUCCUUUAGCUAGGAGCAAAACCCUAGUUAGGCAAAGCACUGGGAAACUGCCACAUGCUCCUGCAACUAUAUGUUGCCAUAAAAUAAUUCAAACACACUAUUAGAGUGUGUAAUUUAGCUCAUAUGUAGUUAGAAUAUGCAGAGUUUGCCAAGUGACUGCAUCCAGCUGGAAAAUCAAUUUAUAUAUGCCAGUUUAAUAAAACCUGAAAGUCUUCCGCAAUACAUGAAGAAAUGUUAGACAACGUUGAAAUUGUACAUUAUGUAAAACCAAACAUAGCUGUAAAUUACAGGCUGAGUGUGAAGGAUCAUUUGUCUCCUGCCAAAAUUCAUAUAAACGGUCACCAAUUUGGGGACAGAGGGGGAAACAUAGCAUAAUAAAAUGAAACUUUGUACAAUUCCAAGUAGAAGCUUCCAGGGCCAAAUUUUUGGUAGAAGAAACUUUAAAACAAAGUUGACUUUGGCCUUCAGCCCUCUCUUACUGAUUUAAAUCUGCAGUAGUCAGGGGCUACACUGGUGCUAAUGAAAACAGAAAACAGGUGAUUUAAUGGUGAAGAGGUAUUUCUAUGUACUAUAAGUGAGCCCUGAGCUCUCAGUCUGGCCUAACCACAUUGUUUGCCUGCAGAGUUCCCCCUUCACUCUCACUUUAGGAAGCGCUAUUUUCUUAUCCAUUAGGUGUGUUCUGUGCAUAUAAAUUCAGCCCAAGAAGCAUCUAGGCUACCCAUUCCCUUGCCUGGGCUCUGCUGCUGGCAGCCAAGGUGUCUCGUUAGGAAGAAUAAGGUGUUGCCUUGCGAUUGCCAUUGUGGUGUACAGGUGCAAAGCAGUGGGGUGUCACCAGUUCUGCUCUGGAGAGACAGAGAUCAGCAUUGCAAACUCCCACAGUGUGGAUGCUACUAAUUACUGGGCUUCCUUCUGCUCUCAGCAGGGGGAUGAAUAGAGAAAUGGCAUACAGAUACUCUGGGAGUAGCACUUCCUCCUCGCCCUAGUUCCUUUCUUGAAGCUGUAUAGGAUGAGUUGGGAAUGGCUGUGUUCAUGCAGGAGACAAACGUGACUUCAGUUGUCAGACCUAUCUCUUAGCACUUUUAACUAACAUGAGCAAACAAACUCUCAUUAGUGCUAGGGAACACAAAAAACUACAGGAGUGAGUCAGGCUUUAUCACACUAGGUUGUUUGCUCUGUUUUCCGGACAAACAACACAAGGCAGGAAAAACAACACUCAUCUGCAAAACACUUCCCAGACAUGUGUUCAUAUCUAAAAUAACUAUUUAGAUUAAAUUAACUCCUCAUCUGCAUUUGCAAAAAGGUUUCUCUGCACAGGUAAUGUGAGUAAAACAGAUAUUUAGUACACAUUGCUUGCAUGCUGCCUACACCACUCUGAAUAGGUCUCCCUUUCAGGGUGCUCUUGAUGCAAUGUGACCAAGAGUAGUCAGACAGAAAAUGUUUACAGGGCAGCCAAUGUGAAUUUAUGCUCUUGUAGUUAAUUGCUCUGACUUUGCUCUGAUCCCAAAAUAGGAAAGACAAAGACAUUUCAUUUAGCACUUAGUAUCUCAGGGAUCAGUUCUGUUCAUUGUAGCAUUACAAAAAUCUCAAGGAAACUCCAUUUAGAUCAAUGAUCAGAUUUAUGUCAACAAAAUCCUGGAAACUGAAUUUGGCCCAGUUUUUACCAUUUGCAUCCUAAAAGCAUUUCCAGCUUGUGCAUGUUGGAUGGAGAAGUUUUCAGAUAUUCUCGUUAUCAAGGCAAUUCCUCAGCCUUUCAGAUGAAUCAAAUUUUAGCUAGCUAUUUCAUCCAAGGUUGUAGGAAUCACUCCUUACUCACACGAACAAGGUCUUACGUUGCACCUUAACCUGUAAAUCCCCUCACCAGUCUCCUCAUUCACCCUCGCUUAGGGCAUGCUGUUUGUUGGCAGGGAGUAUUGGCACAAGUCUUUGUUUUCACAGAAUAUACAGUUUCACCUUGGCUUAGCACUUGACAUCCUCAGUAUCAAUGCAGCCACUCACAGAAGUAAAGGUCAUUGAUUUAAACCACAAGUAUUCAAGAUUGCUUUUUUACAAUCGCCACUGUCCAACAUACAAUUAGGCUUUAACGUGCAGAAUGUGUUUCAAGACCUGCCAGUAAUUUUCAUUCCAUAUACAGUAGUUUUUAUGCCAAUACAUGUGCUUUAUAUCUGAUGGCAAGAAUAUUUAAGAGGGUGGAAGGUCAAUCUUUUAUAGACAAUCCAAAAAAUAAAAUAAAAACUGAGAAAGAUAUGGAAAUGUGCGUACUCAGCAAGAACCCUAGCAGGAAAAGUUUUCUAGGUGAUUAAAUACAAAAGUGAGUGUUGUCCAAUUGGUAAAACCAUUGCAGGAUGUGUGUACACCAGUCACAGAAGUGCCUGGAAUGCAGAGCCAUUCAAGCUCAGCUUUUAACAAGGCAGUUGUGGACCUGGACACAGGCCAGAUAUAAAAGCCCUGGGCCCAGCAUGGGCUAAUUUACCAAGCUCUUAUGAUGGCAAUCUAAACUAACCAAGUUUAUUGGCUUUGAAACAAACUAGGAACACUCGCACAGCCAGUAACUAUUUGUCAGCUGGGGAGACAACAGUGAAGAGCUGAGCACAAAAAGAUAGACUAGACAACUUUUCUAACUCUCAUCCCCAAGGCACUCCUGACUGUGGCCUUAUACCCCAAAAAAAGAGAAAUAUAUACACGGCACCUAGUACAACUGUCUUUCCAGAUGCAACAGUUCCAGUUUAAAGUCUAUUCACCCACAACUAGUUCUUCUUCCCUUCACUGAAAUACAACUAUUGAUAAAAUACAUAAAGCAAUAUUCCACUGUGGUUUGAAAUAGACAUACUGGCACAGGAGAAAAAUUCGGGAGUUAUUAUAUCAUUUAACUUAUAUCAGUGUGAUGAAAGCAAUGCAAAUGAUACAUGUAGAUAAAUUUCAGACUACCAUGCAAGGUAAAAAUAACAGCUAUUGCUAUGUACCAAACUCGAUUUCAAUACCUCGGCAUGAACAGUUUCUAACUAGGCCACACUCAAGCUUUCUGAUGGAUGCGAACCACAUAACAUCACUGGAAUUACUCCAGUUCACCUCCAAAUGUAAUCGGCUCAAUGCAAUUAAGCCAAAGCUCUCUUCACCUUCAAAGAAAAAAAAAAAGAAACUUCAACUUCCUUAAAGAGUACUGGAAAGCAGGGAAAAUAACUUUCAGAAAAAUGUUUUCACUCCUAAAUAAAGACCUUUCCACAUAUUGCACCAAUUUCAUGCUCAAUUCAGAUAAGCAAUAAAUAUGUAUGCUAUUUUGUUUAGCUUGAUUUUGCCUUCAGUUUGGUGAGUUUGUGUUUAAAAAUGAGGAAAGUAGAUCUACCAUUGUUAAUAACAAAAAAUAAGGCUUGUCUUUUAAAUCAGAGGGUAAUAAUGUUUUUGAGAUUUGAAUCACAAAGUUCUUCAUCUUCUACCCUUGACCAUAUUCAGAGAGAGAUAGGAAUAUGUGCCAAUCUUUAUGAAACAGACCAAAAACUAGUAUCAGUAAGAAGGCAAGCCCCUAGAUUUUCAUCUUGAGGGUUAAAGGAGCCUACUCGCUCCAUAGUCUGCCAGGAUUUUUUGCUGCUAGCAGGAAUUGUGCGCUUAAUCCUCCACUCCCUCCUUGGAUGCAACCCUAGCAAGAAGUGAAUGACAGUUAUAUCAUGAGGGAGUACCACACCACCAGUCCCCAUAAAUACGUAUCACUCAAGAGUGCUUUGAGGAUGUAGCCUUUGAUUCCAGUGGGGACAAAUUUAUCUUUAGCCCUGGAGAGACCCACAAGAUGGUUCUGUCACUAGCUCUAAUGAGAGACACAGAUCAGUCACUCAACACAUAGGAGGUUCAAGUGAGGGAGAAGGCUUUCCCUUUAAAAUCCAGACCCUCACAAGUAAUUUUCAGCUAGGUUUACAAAAGUCAAAUCUGAGACACUAGUCAUGAUCUACUAGUGUAGAACAGAACAAGAUGGUGAGAAGACAAUCCAAGUUUCUAUGGACAAAGAAAAAGAUGUGGGAUUUUUGACAAACAGUUGAUGAAUGGGAGAGAUACAGCUGAAAAGCAAUGGUUUUCCAGUUCUGAAGUAGCUUCCUCCAAAAAGAGGUCUUGACCCAAAAGAAGGAAUUGCAGAUAAGGCAUUCAGUACUGCCAUAAAUAUUUUGAGGUGAAAGAGAAUGAGGUCAGGUAUCUGUAUCACUUACAUUUUUAAGAUUUCCAGAGCAUAAGCCCUUCUGUCAUCAUACAAUAAUUUUAGCCAAAGCAUCUAACAUGGAAAACAGCAUUUCGGAUCCAUUUUUAUUGCAUAUUUAGUUUCUAAACAACAAAUUACUACCAUUUCAAGGGGGCUGCAUUUAGUUGAAAACUGACAGUCAUAUACAUUAUCUACGUAUGUUUGGCAGAAGAGAAUAUGGGAUAAAUUUCUGAAGCUAACUUUUACUGAAAUCACUUUAUUGAAUAAAAAAAAAAAAAAGGAAGAAAGAAAAGUUGAAAGCCAUUGUGUACUGUGAAGAUAUUGACACUUUUGAAACGGAAAGGGCAUAUAGGUCUCUAGCUCCAGGUCCGUUCGUUGAAGAAUCUUGUUGGGCUGUAAUAAUCAAACUUGUAAGAUUUAAAGAAAAGGAGAUAAUUCUGAUAAAGGCAAUACAAUACCCUAAAGGAAAAAAAGCAGAGGAUAUAGAAAGGUGAGAGAGAGUUCAAAUUUUUGCCUGUUCUACCCAAAAAGAAAAGACAAGAGAAGAAAGGAUCAGUUGAAUUUGAGUCUUUACUGCCAAGAGGGGAAAAAAAAGUGAGACAUGAAAUUUUGCAACCUACAACCCCCAUAAUAACAGCAGGAACCAUCACAAUCUAGCACAGGCAGUUGAACAGUUUAUCAAGGAGAUUUUUCCUCUGCCGUGGAUUUCACUGUUGCAGCAGCACAUAGGCUUUUCCAUGUUACUUGGCCCUAUUCCAUGGCUUUUAUUGAAGAUUAAGGCUUGAAAGAGAAGAGAAAGCAAACAGAAAACAAGUACAGGCUCAAAAUCUUGAUGGAAGUUUAUACUGUGAGUCUGCCUUGUUGCUUUAAACACAAUUGUUUUAGCUGCAGGCAUUACAGUUUCAAACUGUGAAUAGUUUAAAGGCUUACUGAAUGUGAUUUUAUGGAGACAUUAAGUGUUUUAAUUUCCAUGCUUAUUUCCAAUUCAUCAUAUCCCAUCCUUAAAAGGAAAACCAGCCCAACAUAUUUUCAUGUUUCUCAUUAGAAGGUAUAAGUUCCAGUAAAAUAUGAAGUGGAGGGCAUAAAUGGGAAGUGGGAAACUGUCUUUGGUCAAGUCAAGCAGCAGAAGCAUGAGCUUGUACAUAAUUACUUUUAAUACUAUGUGGAAAGCUGGAACUGAUGAGAAUCUGAUUUUCAGAGUGCUAAGUUUUCCAAGCUCUACUUUGUUAUGUUGAGUUUGCAGGUGCUCAGCCCUAUUUAGAAGGCUGACAGUAAGUUAUGAACUCUUUUUGUCAUGGAGAGAUGUCCAAAUGUAAACCAGUGCACUGAGUCAGCUCCUGGGCUGCCCAUGUGCUCCCUCCACCACCAGAGUAUUCUCUGACAUGCAAACAGAAACAACCCUUGGUGCCUUGUGGCUCACUUCUGUACUCUAGAAUCUCAAAUGCCAAAUAUGAUUAUUGUGUGACACCAGGUCAUAAGAGGAGCAAUAUCUUCCAGGAUUGGGGGUGUCACAGCAGCAUGGGGAAUCCUGCACAGACUGCUUGCUUCUGCCUCAUCCUGCUGCAUAAGCCCAGGCAGGGUACUUGCUGUCUCUGUGCUCCUCCUUUCUCCCCUCUCCAUUUGUCUGUCCUGCUAUCCACUGCUGGGGUUUAUAACCAGAGGGGCACUGCAAAAGCAGAAGAGAGAGGCCUUCUCCAAUUGGUGUAUCCCACAUCCAACCUCAAGUUUUCACCAAGGAAUUCCUGCAGAGCAAAGAAUUUGUAACAUCCCAAGCCUGUGAGAGGACUAACAUGAACUUUGCCUCUCUAAGGGCAUCUCAACCCCACACCCCCCAGCAUUAAGGAGGGCCUCCAGGAACAUUUUCCAUGUGUCCCACCAUAGCUGUUACUCCUUACACAAUAUCCCAGGUGAUGAGGCUAAGGAGAGCAAGGCAGGGAGCAUGACUGCAGCCUGGCAUCCAGGGCAGUCACCUGGAGGGGAAGCAGGUAUCCAGCAGUGCUUCAAGGCCCUUCUCUGUGAACACAGUAUAUUUUUUAACUGCUGGGCGUGUAGCAUGAGGAGCAGGAAGCAGAAACAGCGACCCAAGUCCCCUGUGGAUCCAGCCUCUGUUUUAUUAUGUGCAUGUGCAGCAAUGUUAUACAGCAGACCUCUGGUCUGGUUUUGUGUCUUCAGGCUGCAGUUUAAUGAUGAAUAAUUAGGUUUUGGACAGCUCUUGGCAAGGCUGCCACUGAAUACUUUAUGCUGUAAUGGAUGUUAAUCUGAAAAUUGUGUUUGCAGUUCUGUUUGAUCAUCUGUAAUGAAAGUGGUCAAAUUGUAAUUUGGUCUUAGUAAAAAAAAAUAAAUAAAUUACCAAAUUUAUUUCAAAUCCUACCCUUGCUUUAUACCAGUAAAAACAAGCAAGGAUUCCAUUACAUCCAGUCAUCUUACAGAACAACAAGAGAUGAAAAAAAUUUUUUCAAAAAUAAUUUUAAAGGGUUAAGGGUUCAACUGAAUCAUCAAAUUGUGGGAAUUAGAGUUUUCCUACAUAGGCAGCUUAGAGCUCUAUCAUCACAACAUACCAAGAUACAAAAAUAUAAAUAUUAAGUUAUAUUAAAUGUUUCAAAACAUUGUAUCUUCCAAGGUACCUCGUUUUGCAUUUGACUCUGCUAGAAAUUGCAAACAUUUUCCUCAAAAAUGCCAAAAUGCAAGAGAGUGUCAAAGAAUAAAUGGUACCUGUGUGUCAAACAUUGCUCCCACAUCUUGUGACAGAUAUGAAACACAGACUGAACUGACUAAAACACCAAUCAAAAUACAUCCACAAGUGAUUUCACCUUCUUAUGAGCCAAACCUUCACCUAGAAAACUGUGUGAAAUUCAGAAUAGUUCCUGACUAUAUCAGCAUGGAUGAGAAAGGACGUGGCAUCAGAACCAGACGGUGUGACACAGACAUGUGACCCAGCAAGACAGUGGCAGAAGCACAAAUUAUGGUACAAACACAAAAUAUUUUUUUAAAUCUUCAUACAGAUAAUAGCUGAGGGAUUAAUCAGUGACUGAAACAGUUAAAACAUUUUAACAAUGUUGAAGUGAGAACUGACAAAAUAGGGCAGAUGUCUGUCCAAGAAUGCCGUGUUGCUCAUGCAGUGUCCCCGCCUCUGUGACAGUGUUGUGAUGGGACUCUGAGUGAUACUGGCCUGAAAGGCUGAAACAAAGGGGAUUGCAUCCUGAAGUCUUUAUGGGGAUACAUUUCCACUGAUUUUAAUGAGCGAGAGACAGGCUAGAGCCAAUGGCAGUUUAGUCUGGAUAAGCAAGGAGACACAAAUGAAUAAAGAUUUCAGCAUUUGCCUUUUCCUUUGUAAAGAAAUAAUAAAAAUAUACUGCACAUGUUGCCUAUCUGUCAGCUAAAUUCAUUUUAUCUACAACACUUUAUUGGUCUCAUGCAGCUCUAGAGAACAAUUGAAAUCUCAAAUUACAAAACCACCUAGUUUAAGGCUUGAUAAGUGCUGAAGCCCUCAGACCCUGAAAUACAGUCUCCAAGUUCCCAUUCAAAUUGUCAUCAAAGCUAUACUCCAACAUUAAGUCCAUGUCAGCCUUAGUGGAAGCAGAUGAGGACUACAGCUGCAUCUGGUUUGACUUCCCUUUAAUAACUGCAGCCAAUUGAGCCAUAUCAAAGAAAAUGCAAAAAUCUCAGGCCACGAGUGACUCUUCCAAGGAGAGUUUUCAGUACUAGGGAGAACACAGAUGGUAAACUUCAAGAGCAGGAAGCCUAUAGCUAACCUACCUUCUCCUGACUUCCUCCUAUUGUAACAAAGGAAUCCUUCAUUCAGCAGAAACUAUUCCUACCUUAUACAAUGCCUUAGAAAACUGGUGUCAAACAUUACAGUCUGCUGAAAUUACUGAUGUUAAAUCAACCACCGAUCAAUUAUUUUUGAAGCCUGCUGUCAGCUCACCUGCCAAAAAAGCUGUGAUUUGCUAAAUAUGCUUGUCAUUUUGCUUCAAACGGAUUUCACAAAACAUGUGUGUUUCAAAACUGCUUACUAGAAUAACGACACAGGGAUUUCUGCAUGAAAAUCAACAGCACCAGAAGCCUACAAUGUUUUGUCAAGUAAAGAACAGAGAAACAACACAGCAGUCCCUUGAGAACUACAGAAUCCAAAUCUUCUAGCUGAAUAGCUGAGAGCUCAGAGAUGCAUCCAGGCUCUUACACAUGGAGCUGGAUGGUGGUCAUGUGGGCUGCAAGGACAUGGUUCUCUUGUCUCCACGAAGGAUAACCCAGUCAAAGAAAUGUCAAUAGCAGCAAACAGAAACAGAACACAAACAACACUACUUCUUUUUCCCUCUAGGGAAACUUGCCUAGUGAUUGUGAAU